UAAAAAAUGCGGACAGUGUCUGGUGGGUAGUUUGACUGGGGCGGUCUCCUCCCAAAGCGUAACGGAGGAGCACGAAGGUUAGCUAAUCCUGGUCGGACAUCAGGAGGUUAGUGCAAUGGCAUAAGCUAGCUUGACUGCGAGCGUGACGGCGCGAGCAGGUGCGAAAGCAGGUCAUAGUGAUCCGGUGGUUCUGAAUGGAAGGGCCAUCGCUCAACGGAUAAAAGGUACUCCGGGGAUAACAGGCUGAUACCGCCCAAGAGU
rnacentral:rRNA from 1 species